GAUGAACGCUGGCGGCGUGCCUAAUACAUGCAAGUCGAGCGAACAGAUGAGGAGCUUGCUCCUCUGACGUUAGCGGCGGACGGGUGAGUAACACGUGGAUCACCUACCUAUAAGACUGGGAUAACUUCGGGAAACCGGAGCUAAUACCGGAUAAUAUAUUGAACCGCAUGGUUCAAUAGUGAAAGACGGCUUUGCUGUCACUUAUAGAUGGAUCCGCGCCGCAUUAGCUAGUUGGUAAGGUAACGGCUUACCAAGGCAACGAUGCGUAGCCGACCUGAGAGGGUGAUCGGCCACACUGGAACUGAGACACGGUCCAGACUCCUACGGGAGGCAGCAGUAGGGAAUCUUCCGCAAUGGGCGAAAGCCUGACGGAGCAACGCCGCGUGAGUGAUGAAGGUCUUCGGAUCGUAAAACUCUGUUAUUAGGGAAGAACAAAUGUGUAAGUAACUAUGCACGUCUUGACGGUACCUAAUCAGAAAGCCACGGCUAACUACGUG
rnacentral:rRNA from 1 species